UCACAGUUCUAAAUAUGCAGCGGAACAAUAAUUGACCAACAUGCAGAAACCUAAUUCUUAAAAUGACAAAACCUUGCAAAGUCCAAUAAUCAUGAUAAAUGUCCAUAAUAAUCAAUUCAACUUAAAUAACCCUAAUCUAAGAUAAUUUGGGCCAUAAUUCUUCUAGUCGCUCUCCCAUUUUGAAUCCCCAAUAGUCUAGUUCUCGGAAUCUGUAAAACAACAAGAGAUGGUAUGAUGAGCUAGACAGCCCAGUAAGUAAUGAACACUCUAACUAGAUAAAUCAAGCAGUAAUAUAUGAAAAAUAAAUAUAAAUGCAGUUCCAAAGUACAAGUCAAAUAUGUCUUAAAUUCAUAAGAUUCUUUUCACGGUUUCGAG
rnacentral:lncRNA from 1 species